rnacentral:rRNA from 1 species
GACGAACGCUGGCGGCGUGCUUAACACAUGCAAGUCGAACGGAAAGGCCCUGCUUGCAGGGUACUCGAGUGGCGAACGGGUGAGUAACACGUGGGUGAUCUGCCCUGCACUUCGGGAUAAGCUUGGGAAACUGGGUCUAAUACCGGAUAGGAGCCAUCUUUAGUGUGGUGGUUGGAAAGUUUUUUCGGUGUAGGAUGAGCUCGCGGCCUAUCAGCUUGUUGGUGGGGUAAUGGCCUACCAAGGCGGCGACGGGUAGCCGGCCUGAGAGGGUGUACGGCCACAUUGGGACUGAGAUACGGCCCAGACUCCUACGGGAGGCAGCAGUGGGGAAUAUUGCACAAUGGGCGCAAGCCUGAUGCAACGACGCCGCGUGGGGGAUGAAGGCCUUCGGGUUGUAAACUCCUUUCGCUAGGGACGAAGCUUUUUGUGACGGUACCUAGAUAAGAAGCACCGGCUAACUACGUG